GAUGGGUCAGAUGGGGACUUAUUUGGUUUAAGAACUGGCAACACUUUUUGGGACUUCCAUGACAGAGGGACACUAUUACCUGUCAACGCAAUAGAAUUGAUAAUUUGUAAAUAAUAGGAGAGAACAUGAUCAUUUAAAUUAUGAAAGAAGGAGUACGGAAUACCAUCUACACCUGGAGACGAAUCAGUUACAUUUUGGAUGAUUCCCUUGAGUUCAAACAGUGUAAAUGGCUGUUCAAUAACAGACACAGCGACUGGCGAUGGAGUUAUAGGGCAACGUUGGACGGUGAUUUGAGAUUACACUGAGAAAAAACAUUAAUCAAAGUCAUUAUAAGGCUAGAUAAAUUUGUUGUUGAGUCUUCUUUAGGUUGGUUAUUGAUAGCACAUCCAUCCCUUGGGGAAGGGAAAGAGUAGUCACGGAUUAAAUUAUUAUGGGCUACCUUAUCAUAGCCUUUUGAAUGUGAAGGAGAGGGACGGGGUGGAAGGAAGACAGUCUUUUUGUAAGAACUUGAGGUUGACUUUGAGGAACCAGAAUUAGUAUUAUAGUAAGGCAUAUUUUUAAUAGGUGUACUUUGUUUUACAGGACUAGAGGACAGAGCGUCUGCGUAGGACUUGGAGACUGGAGGGUGGAGCUUGGAUGCCUCUGCAUACGAGAUGGAAUUUUCAGCCAUAUAAGCCUUGAUUUUCUUUUGGCGGACAAAUUCUGGGCAUGACUUACUAGUUGCAUAGUGGAAACCAGAACAAAGACAGCAGGAGGCUUGGUCUUCAUGGAUGGAGCAAGAAUCACCAAUGUGGGCUUGCCCACAUUUAAAACAGCGGGGCUGGGACCUACAUUGGGCCUUAGUAUGACCAAAUCGGCAACAAUUAAAACAUUGAAUUGUAGGGAAAAUGUACAAUUCCACUGACAAAGCAUUAUAGCAUACAAAAACUCGUUUAGGUAAAGAUUGUCCGUCAAAUGUUACUACGACUGAUUGGGAGGGUUUCCAAGAAACUGUACCAUUAAUAUAAGACUUAAAAUUCAA